CCUACGGGAGGCAGCAGUGGGGAAUCUUGCGCAAUGGGCGAAAGCCUGACGCAGCCAUGCCGCGUGAAUGAUGAAGGUCUUAGGAUUGUAAAAUUCUUUCACCGGGGACGAUAAUGACGGUACCCGGAGAAGAAGCCCCGGCUAACUUCGUGCCAGCAGCCGCGGUAAUACGAAGGGGGCUAGCGUUGCUCGGAAUUACUGGGCGUAAAGGGAGCGUAGGCGGAUAGUUUAGUCAGAGGUGAAAGCCCAGGGCUCAACCUUGGAAUUGCCUUUGAUACUGGCUAUCUUGAGUAUGGGAGAGGUAUGCGGAACUCCGAGUGUAGAGGUGAAAUUCGUAGAUAUUCGGAAGAACACCAGUGGCGAAGGCGGCAUACUGGCCCAUUACUGACGCUGAGGCUCGAAAGCGUGGGGAGCAAACAGGAUUAGAUACCCUGGUAGUCCACGCUGUAAACGAUGAGUGCUAGUUGUCGGCAUGCAUGCAUGUCGGUGACGCAGCUAACGCAUUAAGCACUCCGCCUGGGGAGUCGGUCGCAGNUUAAAACUCAAAGGAAUUGACGG
rnacentral:rRNA from 1 species